rnacentral:rRNA from 1 species
CCUACGGGUGGCAGCAGUGGGGAAUAUUGCACAAUGGGGGAUACACUGAUGCAGCAACGCCGCGUGAGGGAAGAAGGAUUUCGGUAUGUAAAGCUCUAUCAGCAGGGAAGAGAAUGACGGUACCUGACUAAGAAGCCCCGGAUAACUACGUGCCAGCAGCCGCGGGACUACGUAGGGGGCAAGCGGUAUCCGGAUUUACUGGGUGUAAAGGGGGCGUAGACGGCUGUACAAGUCUGAAGUGAAAGCCCGUGGCUCAACCGCGGAACUGCCUUGGAAACUGUAAGGCUGGAGUACGGGAGAGGCAGGCGGAAUUCCUGGUGUAGCGGUGAAAUGCGUAGAUAUUAGGAGGAACACCAGUGGCGAAGGCGGCCUGCUGGAAAGAAACUGACGUUGAGGCUCGAAAGCGUGGGGAGCAAACAGGAUUAGAUACCCGUGUAGUC